UGGAUUCGCUAGUAAUCGCGCAUCAGCCAUGGCGCGGUGAAUACGUUCCCGGGCCUUGUACACACCGCCCGUCAAGCCAUGGGAGCCGGGGGCGCCUGAAGUCCGGGACCGCGAGGACCGGCCUAGGGCGAAACUGGUAACUGGGGCUAAGUCGUAACAAGGUAAC
rnacentral:rRNA from 1 species